CGUGUAUGAGGCCAGCAGCAGCAGAAGCUGACCUCUCGCUCUGCUCCUCAGCUCUCACUGCUGCCUUCCCACACUGUCCUGGGGUCGUCCUCCAGUCUGCUCCUAAGAGGAAGGAACAACAUAGCCAGCAGGACAGCUAUAUCCUGGUCUCAAAUGAGAAUCCCCGGAAGAGUUCCUGGUGGACGGAACUGAUUGGUGACUCACAGGCUGAUGAUGUGGCUGACAGAAGAUCUGAGAACGCCAGUUGUGAAAGCGACUUCUUAGGUGGCUGCAGAGAGAAGAACGCCGCAGCCCGGCCGCCUCCAGCGUCGGGUAACCAGGACAACGACGUAUGCACGGAGCGCACUGUGCAUGACGUCACACAUUGGAGACGGAAGAAGGGAUGGACCGCAAACGGCCGGGCGGGCGUGAA